rnacentral:tRNA from 1 species
GUCGAUAUAGUUUAAGUAAAACUUUAGAUUGUGAUUCUAGCAACAGGGGUUAAAGCCCCCUUAUUGACC